rnacentral:tRNA from 1 species
GGAGGGAUACCCAAGUAGCCAAAGGGGGCAGACUGUAAAUCUGUUGGCUGUCGCCUUCGAUGGUUCAAAUCCAUCUCCCUCCACCA